rnacentral:rRNA from 1 species
UACAUGGCGUACUGCUCAGUAACACGUGGAUAACCUGCCCUUGGGUCCGGCAUAACCCCGGGAAACUGGGGAUAAUUCCGGAUAACGCACAUAUGCUGGAAUGCUUUAUGCGUAAAAUGGAUUCGUCUGCCCAAGGAUGGGUCUGCGGCCUAUCAGGUAGUAGUGGGUGUAAUGUACCUACUAGCCUACGACGGGUACGGGUUGUGAGAGCAAGAGCCCGGAGAUGGAUUCUGAGACAUGAAUCCAGGCCCUACGGGGCGCAGCAGGCGCGAAAACUUUACAAUGCGGGAAACCGUGAUAAGGGGACACCGAGUGCCAGCAUCCUAUGCUGGCUGUCCAGGUGUGCAAAAUACACCUGUUAGCAAGGGCCGGGCAAGACCGGUGCCAGCCGCCGCGGUAACACCGGCGGCCCGAGUGGUGAUCGUGAUUAUUGGGUCUAAAGGGUCCGUAGCCGGUUUGGUCAGUCCUCCGGGAAAUCUGACAGCUUAACUGUUAGGCUUUCGGAGGAUACUGCCAGACUUGGAACCGGGAGAGGUAAGAGGUACUACAGGGGUAGGAGUGAAAUCUUGUAAUCCCUGUGGGACCACCUGUGGCGAAGGCGUCUUACCAGAACGGGUUCGACGGUGAGGGACGAAAGCUGGGGGCACGAACCGGAUUAGAUACCCGGGUAGUCCCAGCCGUAAACGAUGCUCGCUAGGUGUCAGGCAUGGCGCGACCGUGU